rnacentral:sRNA from 1 species
GCCGGGUGUGGUGGCACAUGCCUGUAUUCUCAACUACCCUGGAGGCUGGGGUGGGAGGAUCACUUUAGCCCAGGAGGUGGAGGUUGCAGUGAACUGAGAUCAUGCCACCGUACUCCAGCCCGGAUGAGGGUGAGACUCUGUCUUAAAAAAAAAAAAAGACCAGGAGCGGUGGCUCAUGCCUGUAAUCCCAGUACUUUGGGCUGAGGUGGGUGGAUCACGAGGUCAGGAGUUCAAGACCAGCCUGGCCAAGAUGGUGAAACCCCAUCUCU